AGCUGGCUCCUCUGCUCUUUCUUCGACACCCUUUGACCAACCGCUAUCAGUCUUUGAAAAACCCAUGCGGUGCAGUGUGUGACGGUUGAUGGUGUCAGAAUGAGAUAACCUAGUAACUGCCUCCCCCUCAAAACUAACUCCGAACCUCCUAAAGACCAGGUUGAGUGCCAUACCAUAAGGCAAGUGAGCAUUAGACCUGUUUAGGGUCUCUCUCAUGGCCUCAAACAUCAAAGC
rnacentral:lncRNA from 1 species